AGUGAACGCUGGCGGUAGGCCUAACACAUGCAAGUCGAACGGCAGCACAGUAAGAGCUUGCUCUUACGGGUGGCGAGUGGCGGACGGGUGAGGAAUACAUCGGAAUCUACUUUUUCGUGGGGGAUAACGUAGGGAAACUUACGCUAAUACCGCAUACGACCUACGGGUGAAAGCAGGGGAUCUUCGGACCUUGCGCGAUUGAAUGAGCCGAUGUCGGAUUAGCUAGUUGGCGGGGUAAAGGCCCACCAAGGCGACGAUCCGUAGCUGAUCUGAGAGGAUGAUCAGCCACACUGGAACUGAGACACGGUCCAGACUCCUACGGGAGGCAGCAGUGGGGAAUAUUGGACAAUGGGCGCAAGCCUGAUCCAGCCAUACCGCGUGGGUGAAGAAGGCCUUCGGGUUGUAAAGCCCUUUUGUUGGGAAAGAAAAGCAGCAGGUUAAUACCCCGCUGCUCUGACGGUACCCAAAGAAUAAGCGCCGGCUAACUUCGUG
rnacentral:rRNA from 1 species